AAACAACAAUAAUACCGAGCACAAGUGAGGCGCACCAUUACUUGGAAAAUAGAGGGAUGACGCAAUGGAGCUGAGGAGGGAGAGAGCGGGCGAGCGAAGGAGCCUUCGUCACUAGAAUUCCAGUAUAGGGAGCAUAUGCACCCGGAGUUCACCGAGGGCAUUUCCAUGAGUGCCUCAUAUAGGGAGGCAGGGGCGAGGGAAGGGGCAGGGCUUCUAUAUCUCAACACGGAUAAUCACUCCCAGCUGUGUCCACUGUAGCGCCGCACACACAUGUAGGGAGGGGCCAGGGUUCGCCUUUCACAGCAGCACCGAGACCUCAACAAGCCUCCAGCGCAGCAACAAGAGCGCUGUGUCGAACUACACUGGGCCUCGGGACGAGCAAGUCUAUAUUGCAUCUGGGUAGUUGACUAAAAACAACCUUUUGUAUUCAACAUCAAGACUCGUCAAGGAUAUUGUGUAUAUUUCAGGCGUUCUGGUCAUUCUCCCGCUUUUUAACUAACUUUGAACGUGUACACAAAAAUACAAGGAAAGGGGCGGGUCUUGUUUUUAGUUCAUUGCCUUGCAGCUGCCAUCAGAGACUAGAAGCUGUUUAAGAGGCAGAGCAAGCUGCUGAUUGGAUAGCGAAGUGUCCAUUACAUACCAGAUAUUUCUCACCUCCCCUCUCUCUUUCUCCUGGGCUUGUAAAGGAGAGGAUAUCCUCUGGCCUUAUCUAAUAGUCUGCGGAUUGUGCAACGGCUGCCCCGUCCCAGAAAGGCAGCAGUCCGCUUUGUGAAAGUGCACGUAGCAUGGAGCACAAGGGUCAAGGUUUACCAGCAAAAACAAACCAUGGAAAGAAAAAAAGUUGGUCAUGUUUUCCUGCAUCGGAGAUGAGAGGGAGACAGAAAUAAGGAAGAAAUAGAGGUGGUGACAGGGAAAAGGUGGAAGUGUGUGAUAGCCUCAGGCUACGUCUGACAGUAUUUAACAGGCAGUGAAGGGAGUCAGUGGUCUUUAAAGGGACAGCUCACUCUAAAAAAAUGUAUUCACCCUCAUGUCAUUUCAAACCCGUAUGACUGUCCUUCUUCCAUGCAAGCAAAUCUACAAUAUUUUUCCUGCCUCUUUUUUUCCAUUCUAAUGUAGCGCUCAAAUGUCACUCUUCAAAACACAAUAUAUUUAGAUUUGAAAGAUUACAUUUAUAAAAUAUUUAGUAAAUACCAACAUGAACUUAGGCUUCAUAAAACAAAAGUGCCGUCAAACAAUUAAUCAUGAUUA